UGGGGAAUAUUGGACAAUGGGGGCAACCCUGAUCCAGCAAUGCCGCGUGUGUGAAGAAGGUUUUCGGAUUGUAAAGCACUUUCGACGGGGACGAUGAUGACGGUACCCGUAGAAGAAGCCCCGGCUAACUUCGUGCCAGCAGCCGCGGUAAUACGAAGGGGGCUAGCGUUGCUCGGAAUGACUGGGCGUAAAGGGCGUGUAGGCGGUUUGUACAGUCAGAUGUGAAAUCCCCGGGCUUAACCUGGGAGCUGCAUUUGAUACGUGCAGACUAGAGUGUGAGAGAGGGUUGUGGAAUUCCCAGUGUAGAGGUGAAAUUCGUAGAUAUUGGGAGAACACCGGUGG
rnacentral:rRNA from 1 species